rnacentral:rRNA from 1 species
GGGCCCGCACAAGCGGUGGAGCAUGUGGUUUAAUUCGAUGAUACGCGAGGAACCUUACCAGGGCUUAAAUGGGAAAUGACAGGGGCAGAGACGCCCCCUUCUUCGGACAUUUUUCAAGGUGCUGCAUGGUUGUCGUCAGCUCGUGCCGUGAGGUGUCAGGUUAAGUCCUAUAACGAGCGCAACCCCUACCGUUAGUUGCCAGCGUGUAAUGACGGGGACUCUAACGGAACUGCCGGUGCAAACCGUGAGGAAGGUGGGGACGACGUCAAAUCAUCACGGCCCUUACGUCCUGGGCCACACACGUGCUACAAUGGCAGUGACAAUGGGAUAAUCCCCAAAAGCUGUCUCAGUUCGGAUUGUCGGCUGCAACUCGCCGGCAUGAAGUUGGAAUCGCUAGUA